GAGAGGGGGUAAAACCUUCAAAGUAAGUUAUGUGGAUCAAGGUAUGAUGAUUAAUUGGAGUUCUAGUUCAUUUACUUUGAGAAAAUUAGAGUGUUUAAAGCAGCCUCUUGGGGCACUGAAUACAUUAGCAUGGGAUAAUAAAAUAGGAUCUUCACAAUAUAUUUUAUUGGUUUAAAUUGGAUAUGAAGAUAAUGAUUAAUAGGGACAGUUGGGGGGUAUUCAUAUUGGGGUGGUUAGCGGUGAAAUGCUCGGAUCCAUUCAAGAUGAACUAAAGCGAAGGCAUUUACCAAGGAUGUUUUCAUUAAUCAAGAACGAAAAGUUAAGGGAUCGAAGACGAUUAGAUACCGUCGUAGUCUUAACUAUAAACUAUGCCGACCAGGGAUAUGAGUUUGUUAGGAUUAUAUG
rnacentral:rRNA from 1 species